rnacentral:rRNA from 1 species
AAAUAGAUACCCCGGGUAGUCCACGCCGUAAAACGAAUGAAUGCCAGCCGUUGGGGGAGGCAUGCUCUUCAGUGGCGCAGCUAACGCUUUAAGCAUUCCGCCUGGGGGAGUACGGUCGCAAAGAUUAAAAACUACAAAGGAAAGUUCGGACGGGGGCCCGACACGAAGCGGUGGAGCUAUGUGGUUUAAUUCGAAGCAACGCGCAGAACCUUACCAGCUUUUGACAUGUCCGGUUUGAUCGGCAGAGAUGCCUUUCUUCAGUUCGGCUGGCCGGGACACAGGUGCUGCAUGGCUGUCGUCUAGCUCGUGUCGUGAGUAUUGGUUCGGGUUAAGUCCCGACAACGAGCCGUCAACCCUUCGGCCCCUACGUUGCCAUCAUUCGAAGUUGGGAAACGUCUAGGGGGACUGGCCGGUGAAGUAACGGACCGGCGGAGGAAGGUGGGGAUGACGUCAAGGUCCUCAGUCGGCCCGUUACAGGCUGGGGCUACAACACGUGCUACAAGUGGCGGUGACCAAUGGGCAGCGAAAGGGCGACCUCGAGCUAAUCCCAAAAAGCCGUCUCAGUC